rnacentral:rRNA from 1 species
CGCCUCUUGAAUAAGUAUAAGAGGUCCAGCCUGCCCAGUGACAUCAGUUCAACGGCCGCGGUAUUCUGACCGUGCGAAGGUAGCGUAAUCACUCGUCUUUUAAAUAAGGACUAGUAUGAAAGGCAUCACGAGAAUCAAACUGUCUCCUUUUUCUGAUCUGUGAAACUAAUCUCCCCGUGAAAAAGCGGGAAUUAUUAUAUAAGACGAGAAGACCCUAUGGAGCUUUAGACAAAGCAAUAAGUGCCCUAUUUUCUUAUUCCAAGAAAAACUAAUCAGCACAUUAUAUCUUAGUCUUCGGUUGGGGCGACCAUGGAGUAAAACCCACCCUCCACGCUGAAUAAGACCUCCUUAAACAGAGAGCAACAGCUCUAUGCAUCAAUAAAUUGACAACACUUGACCCAAUAUUUGAUCAACGAAACAAGUUACCCUAGGGAUAACAGCGCAAUCCACUUCAAGAGCCCUUAUUGACAAGUGGGUUUACGACCUCGAUGUUGGAUCAGGGUACCCCAGUGGUGUAACCGCUACUAAAGGUUUGUUUGUUCAACAAUUAAAACCCUACGUGAUCUGAGU